rnacentral:rRNA from 1 species
UACGUAGGUGGCGAGCGUUAUCCGGAAUUACUGGGCGUAAAGCGCACGCAGGCGGUUAGGCAAGUUCGACGUGAAAGCUCCCGGCUUAACUGGGAGAGGUCGUUGAAGACUGCUUAGCUUGAGGCAAUGAGAGGGGUGUAGAAUUCCCGGUGUAGUGGUGGAAUGCGUAGAUAUCGGGGGGAAUACCAGUGGCGAAAGCGGCACCCUAGCGUUGUUCUGACGCUCAUGUGCGAAAGCGUGGGGAGCGAACGGG